AUUGAACGCUGGCGGCAUGCUUUACACAUGCAAGUCGAACGGUAACAGGCCUUCGGGCGCUGACGAGUGGCGAACGGGUGAGUAAUGCAUCGGAACGUGCCUAGUCGUGGGGGAUAACUAUCCGAAAGGAUAGCAAAUACCGCAUACGAUCUGCGGAUGCAAGCGGGGGGCCUUCGGCCCUAGACCGGUUGGAGCGGCUGCUGUCGGAUUAGGUAGUUGGUGGGGUAAAGGCUCACCAAGCCAACGAUCUGUAGAUGGUCUGAGAGGACGACCAGCCACACUGGGACUGAGACACGGCCCAGACUCCUACGGGAGGCAGCAGUGGGGAAUUUUGGACAAUGGGCGCAAGCCUGAUCCAGCAAUGCCGCUUGCAGGAAGAAGGCCUUCGGGUUGUAAACUGCUUUUGUACGGAACGAAACGGCUCUGGUUAAUACCUGGGUCAAAUGAGGGUACCGGAAGAAUAAGCACCGGCUAACUACGUGCCAGCCGCCGCAGUAACAC
rnacentral:rRNA from 1 species